AGAAGGACUAAUUUCCUUGGCACGAAAGUGGUGUGCUUGGUUUCCCCAGAGGUCUAUUACUAUCCUUUCAGUAUAGGUAUCUACUGCAUAAGACUGUGACUUUAGUCUGAGUUUUGCAAAGUUUAAAUGCACGUUCCCUGGAGAACCAUGUUCUGAUCCUUAAAAGCAUUCCUGGAUUGUGAAGGCACUGCAGCAUUUAGAAAGAAAGGGUGGUCAGAUAUCUAUGGCAACAGUUCUCACCAAGAUACCAGUUGUGUUUCAGGUGUAUGUGACUCAGCACAUGGGAAUUCUGUUGCUGGAUUAAUCUCUCUGGCUUAGAAGCAGCAUUUGUGAGUUGCAUGCAGGUUUAUCAAGCAGCAUUCGUGCUACUGGAAAUGCUCCACGCAGGUGUGCCAGGUGCCUUGGGAGCUGGUGAGGAACCUACGCUGUUGGAGCAAGGAAGACCAAAGCCACUAGGUCAUCUGUCAGACCCAGUGCUGCCUGUCUCCUGCCUGCGGAUAACGUUAAGGAAGCUUUGAAAUGUGCAUUUCAUCAAUCAUCUACUCUGGAAAGGAACGGUAUGAUUUUCAGCACUUCUGCUAUUUUUGCCUGCAAAAUAUUCAAAAUUGUUUCUGCAGAAGCUAUGGGCAGCAGUGGGGGACAUUUAUUGAAAGAAAUUUGGAACAAUGGAUCGCUAGUGGUUAAAAUAAAAAUGGAAAUUACAUUCUGGAUGCAGGAGGUAAAUGACUAUUGCAUUUACAAUAUAUGGGCAUUUUGCAUGUCUGAACUAUCCCUGAGUAGAUGCAUUUUGGAAAUUUUGAAAGCUGGCUGCCUUUUGAAACCUAUGGAAAAUGCAGAUUCAGGAUCCUGAUUUUAUGCUAAUGUAAACAGGUGAAGGAGAAUACUGGUUUGUUGAAACAAGGGAAUUAGCAUGUGAAUGGGGAGUUUGGGGCUUCUUCCUCUUGUAAAGGUAGCUUUCAAAAUAGACACUGGGAUUUAAAUCACACUGUGAUUUUUCUCUUUUCAUAUCCCUAAAUCAUGUUACUUGUAGUGCAGUAACAGCCUUUGAGCUGUAUUCUGCUGGGCUACUGGUCCUGUAAUUUUAAUUCAUAGCAAUAAUCUACAAACCUAACCACCAGUGAAACAGCCUGUUUUCUCUGCCCCUUCCUAACUUCUUUUGGAUCUCAGUUUCAGUUUUCAGGACUGAUAAUUAUA